GAAAGACCCCGUGAACCUUUACUAUAGCUUGACACUGAACAUUGAGCCUUGAUGUGUAGGAUAGGUGGGAGGCUUUGAAGUGUGGACGCCAGUCUGCAUGGAGCCGACCUUGAAAUACCACCCUUUAAUGUUUGAUGUUCUAACGUUGGCCCCUGAUCGGGGUUGCGGACAGUGUCUGGUGGGUAGUUUGACUGGGGCGGUCUCCUCCUAAAGAGUAACGGAGGAGCACGAAGGUUGGCUAAUCCUGGUCGGACAUCAGGAGGUUAGUGCAAUGGCAUAAGCCAGCUUGACUGCGAGCGUGACGGCGCGAGCAGGUGCGAAAGCAGGUCAUAGUGAUCCGGUGGUUCUGAAUGGAAGGGCCAUCGCUCAACGGAUAAAAGGUACUCCGGGGAUAACAGGCUGAUACCGCCCAAGAGUUCAUAUCGACGGCGGUGUUUGGCACCUCGAUGUCGGCUCAUCACAUCCUGGGGCUGAAGUAGGUCCCAAGGGUAUGGCUGUUCGCCAUUUAAAGUGGUACGCGAGCUGGGUUUAGAACGUCGUGAGACAGUUCGGUCCCUAUCUGCCGUGGGCGCUGGAGAACUGAGGGGGGCUGCUCCUAGUACGAGAGGACCGGAGUGGACGCAUCACUGGUGUUCGGGUUGUCAUGCCAAUGGCACUGCCCGGUAGCUAAAUGCGGAAGAGAUAAGUGCUGAAAGCAUCUAAGCACGAAACUUGC
rnacentral:rRNA from 1 species